UACAGAGGGUGCGAGCGUUAAUCGGAAUUACUGGGCGUAAAGCGUGCGUAGACGGCUAUCUAAGUCGGGUGUGAAAGCCCCGGGCUCAACCUGGGAAUUGCAUUCGAGACUGAAUAGCUAGGGUACGGUAGAGGUAAGUGGAAUUUCCGGUGUAGCGGUGAAAUGCGUAGAUAUCGGAAGGAACACCAGUGGCGAAAGCGGCUUCCUGGUCCAGCACCGACGUUCAGGCACGAAAGCGUGGGGAGCAAACAGG
rnacentral:rRNA from 1 species